rnacentral:rRNA from 1 species
GAAUUUUGGACAAUGGGCGAAAGCCUGAUCCAGCCAUGCCGCGUGAGUGAAGAAGGCCUUCGGGUUGUAAAGCUCUUUCAGCCGGGAAGAAAAUGUACGGGCGAAUACCCCGUGCAGAUGACGGUACCGGAAGAAGAAGCCCCGGCUAACUACGUGCCAGCAGCCGCGGUAAUACGUAGGGUGCGAGCGUUAAUCGGAAUUACUGGGCGUAAAGCGUGCGCAGGCGGUUGCGUAAGACAGAUGUGAAAUCCCCGGGCUCAACCUGGGAACUGCGUUUGUGACUGCACGACUAGAAUACGGCAGAGGGGGGUGGAAUUCCACGUGUAGCAGUGAAAUGCGUAGAUAUGUGGAGGAACACCGAUGGCGAAGGCAGCCCCCUGGGCCUGUAUUGACGCUCAUGCACGAAAGCGUGGGGAGCAAACAGG